GAUGAACGCUGGCGGCGUGCCUAAUACAUGCAAGUCGAGCGAACGGACGAGAAGCUUGCUUCUCUGAUGUUAGCGGCGGACGGGUGAGUAACACGUGGAUAACCUACCUAUAAGACUGGGAUAACUUCGGGAAACCGGAGCUAAUACCGGAUAAUAUUUUGAACCGCAUGGUUCAAAAGUGAAAGACGGUCUUGCUGUCACUUAUAGAUGGAUCCGCGCUGCAUUAGCUAGUUGGUAAGGUAACGGCUUACCAAGGCAACGAUGCAUAGCCGACCUGAGAGGGUGAUCGGCCACACUGGAACUGAGACACGGUCCAGACUCCUACGGGAGGCAGCAGUAGGGAAUCUUCCGCAAUGGGCGAAAGCCUGACGGAGCAACGCCGCGUGAGUGAUGAAGGUCUUCGGAUCGUAAAACUCUGUUAUUAGGGAAGAACAUAUGUGUAAGUAACUGUGCACAUCUUGACGGUACCUAAUCAGAAAGCCACGGCUAACUACGUGCCAGCAGCCGCGGUAAUACGUAGGUGGCAAGCGUUAUCCGGAAUUAUUGGGCGUAAAGCGCGCGUAGGCGGUUUUUUAGUCUGAUGUGAAAGCCCACGGCUCAACCGUGGAGGGUCAUUGGAAACUGGAAAACUUGAGUGCAGAAGAGGAAAGUGGAAUUCCAUGUGUAGCGGUGAAAUGCGCAGAGAUAUGGAGGAACACCAGUGGCGAAGGCGACUUUCUGGUCUGUAACUGACGCUGAUGUGCGAAAGCGUGGGGAUCAAACAGGAUUAGAUACCCUGGUAGUCCACGCCGUAAACGAUGAGUGCUAAGUGUUAGGGGGUUUCCGCCCCUUAGUGCUGCAGCUAACGCAUUAAGCACUCCGCCUGGGGAGUACGACCGCAAGGUUGAAACUCAAAGGAAUUGACGGGGACCCGCACAAGCGGUGGAGCAUGUGGUUUAAUUCGAAGCAACGCGAAGAACCUUACCAAAUCUUGACAUCCUUUGACAACUCUAGAGAUAGAGCCUUCCCCUUCGGGGGACAAAGUGACAGGUGGUGCAUGGUUGUCGUCAGCUCGUGUCGUGAGAUGUUGGGUUAAGUCCCGCAACGAGCGCAACCCUUAAGCUUAGUUGCCAUCAUUAAGUUGGGCACUCUAAGUUGACUGCCGGUGACAAACCGGAGGAAGGUGGGGAUGACGUCAAAUCAUCAUGCCCCUUAUGAUUUGGGCUACACACGUGCUGCAAUGGACAAUACAAAGGGCAGCGAAACCGCGAGGUCAAGCAAAUCCCAUAAAGUUGUUCUCAGUUCGGAUUGUAGUCUGCAACUCGACUACAUGAAGCUGGAAUCGCUAGUAAUCGUAGAUCAGCAUGCUACGGUGAAUACGUUCCCGGGUCU
rnacentral:rRNA from 1 species